rnacentral:rRNA from 1 species
UACGGGGGGGGCAAGCGUUGUUCGGAAUUACUGGGCGUAAAGGGCUCGUAGGUGGCCAACUAAGUCGGACGUGAAAUCCCUCAGCUUAACUGGGGAACUGCGUCCGAUACUGGAUGGCUUGAGUUUGGGAGAGGGAUGCGGAAUUCCAGGUGUAGCGGUGAAAUGCGUAGAUAUCUGGAGGAACACCGGUGGCGAAGGCGGCUCUCUAGUACGGUACUGACGCUGAGACGCGAAAGCGUGGGGAGCGAACAGG